AGAGUUUGAUCAUGGCUCAGGACGAACGCUGGCGGCGUGCCUAACACAUGCAAGUCGAACGGAGCUAAUUAGAGGAAGUUUUCGGAUGGAAUUUGGUUAGCUUAGUGGCGGACGGGUGAGUAACGCGUGAGCAACCUGCCUUUCAGAGGGGGAUAACGUCUUGAAAAGGACGCUAAUACCGCAUAACAUUAACUUCCCGCAUGGGGGGAUAAUCAAAGGAGCAAUCCGCUGAAAGAUGGGCUCGCGCCCGAUUAGCCAGUUGGCGGGGUAGAGGCCCACCAAAGCGACGAUCGGUAGCCGGACUGAGAGGUUGAACGGCCACAUUGGGACUGAGACACGGCCCAGACUCCUACGGGAGGCAGCAGUGGGGGAUAUUGCACAAUGGGGGAAACCCUGAUGCAGCAACGCCGCGUGUGGGAAGACGGUUUUCGGAUUGUAAACCACUGUCCUAUGGGAAGAUAAUGACGGUACCAUAGGAGGAAGCUCCGGCUAACUACGUGCCAGCAGCCGCGGUAAUACGUAGGGAGCAAGCGUUGUCCGGAAUUACUGGGUGUAAAGGGUGCGUAGGCGGGCUUGCAAGUCAGCCGUGAAAUCCCGGGGCUUAACCCCGUGGACUGCGGUAGAAACUGUGAGUCUUGAGUGAAGUAGAGGUAGGCGGAAUUCCCGGUGUAGCGGUGAAAUGCGUAGAGAUCGGGAGGAACACCAGUGGCGAAGGCGGCCUACUGGGCUUUAACUGACGCUGAGGCACGAAAGUGUGGGUAGCAAACAGGAUUAGAUACCCUGGUAGUCCACACCGUAAACGAUGAUUACUAGGUGUGGGGGGACUGACCCCCUCCGUGCCGG
rnacentral:rRNA from 1 species